GGGCCGGUUAUAGCCAAGUGCUGGAGGGUCUUGAGAACAGGGCCCAAAUGAUUAAGGGGCCCAAAAAUUUUUAAGUUUUCUUUAUAUAUACAUAGCCCAAGUUUCUUACCGAUUACAGGCCCAAUCCCUUAACUGAUUUCAGGCCCAACCUUUGUCAAAAAUCUAAUUGCCGCUGGAGAAAUCAAACGUCGCGGUUCUUGAUCUUUAGUUCUGCACUAGGGAUUUCAGAUUUCUGAUUGAACAACCAGCCAGCCAGAGGCCCAGAAUCCAGAUCGCAGAGACGCAGAAUCGCAGAUUAAAAUCAGCAUCUGAUAAUAGUCAGCAUCAUAAUCAUUCUCGCAAUCUCGCAGAUAAGAUAAUAGUCAUCAUCAUCACCGCUGCAGCCUACAGGUGCAGGAAAUCAAUCGUCGAGACUCGAGGUAUUUUGUUUGUUGAAUUGUUGUUAUAUCCUGAUUUCGAGUCGUAUUUCGAGUUUAACGAUUUAGACUGUUAUAGUGUUAUGAAUGAAUUUUACAGUUUAGACUGAUAUAGACUGCAGGAAAUCAAACGUCGAGUGAUCGAGUCGAGGUAUCUUACUGUUGUUUAUUUAGAUUUUAGACUGAUUUAUGUUAAUUUGUUUUAUAUAUUUCAUAAUAAUUAUCGUAGUAUUAUGAAUUUUUGGUAUUUAUAUAUAUAUCAUUGAAUGAUUGAUGAGUUUAUGUUAU
rnacentral:lncRNA from 1 species